GACACAAAACCCGGAAGGACCCCGCCGAAGGUUUUCUCCGGUUCGGGAGAGAGACGGAGUCCCGCUCUGUCACGCAGGCUGCCAGGCUGGCGUACAGUGGCGCAAUCUCAGCUCGCUGCAACCUCCACCUCCUGGGUUCAAGCGAUUUUCUUGCCUCUGCCUCCUGAGUAGCUGGGAUUACUGGCACACACCACCAUGCACAGGGAGAUAUGAGACAUCAAUCAAUAUAUGUAAGAUGUACAUCAGUUUCGUCUGGAAAGAUGGGACAACAUGAAGCAGGGAGGGGGCUCCCUGGUGACAGGGAAUUUUCUUGUGGGCAAAUUGUGAGGGAGUUCCUUGUUCAAAAUGCCAAGAACCUGGAUGACUCAUAGUCAAGACCCUCCACCAGUAACAUAUAUUGGCGAGCCAGCCAGGAGCUUGGAACCCUCGGUGGACAGUGCCUAAGCACAGAGGCAACCACAGGUUUCUAACAGGGCCACUCUCUGGUGAAACUGAAAGGUUUCUGUGUGAAAGUGCCUGACCACCACUGCCCAAUUCAGACCACUACAGGAAACACUCCAU
rnacentral:lncRNA from 1 species